rnacentral:miRNA from 1 species
AAAAGUCCAGCAGGGGCGACCUGAGAACACAUGCAACCAAAUUUUGAAUCGGCUUUAUGUAUUCUCAGGACGACCCUGGAGAACCCCU